rnacentral:rRNA from 1 species
GACGAACGCUGGCGGCGUGCUUAACACAUGCAAGUCGAACGCUGAAGCACCAGCUUGCUGGUGUGGAUGAGUGGCGAACGGGUGAGUAAUACGUGAGUAACCUGCCCUUGACUCUGGGAUAAGCCCGGGAAACUGGGUCUAAUACUGGAUGCUACAUGUCACCGCAUGGUGGUGUGUGGAAAGGGUUUACUGGUCUUGGAUGGGCUCACGGCCUAUCAGCUUGUUGGUGAGGUAAUGGCUCACCAAGGCGACGACGGGUAGCCGGCCUGAGAGGGUGACCGGCCACACUGGGACUGAGACACGGCCCAGACUCCUACGGGAGGCAGCAGUGGGGAAUAUUGCACAAUGGGCGAAAGCCUGAUGCAGCGACGCCGCGUGAGGGAGGACGGCCUUCGGGUUGUAAACCUCUUUCAGCAGGGAAGAAGCCACAAGUGACAGUACCUGCAGAAGAAGCGCCGGCUAACUACGUG